UACGGAGGAUCCAAGCGUUAUCCGGAAUCAUUGGGUUUAAAGGGUCCGUAGGUGGAUGAUUAAGUCAGGGGUGAAAGUCUGCAGCUCAACUGUAGAAUUGCCCUUGAUACUGGCGGCCUUGAGUUAUGGUGAAGUGGCUAGAAUAUGUGGUGUAGCGGUGAAAUGCAUAGAUAUCACAUGGAAUACCGAUUGCGAAGGCAGGCCACUAACCAUAUACUGACGCUGAUGGACGAAAGCGUGGGGAGCGAACAGG
rnacentral:rRNA from 1 species